rnacentral:rRNA from 1 species
UUAAGCGACUAAGCGUACACGUGGAUGCCCUGGCAGUCAGAGGCGAUGAAGGACGUGCUAAUCUGCGAUAAGCGUCGGUAAGGUGAUAUGAACCGUUAUAACCGGCGAUUUCCGAAUGGGGAAACCCAGUGUGAUUCGUCACACUAUCAUUAACUGAAUCCAUAGGUUAAUGAGGCGAACCGGGGGAACUGAAACAUCUAAGUACCCCGAGGAAAAGAAAUCAACCGAGAUUCCCCCAGUAGCGGCGAGCGAACGGGGAGCAGCCCAGAGCCUGAAUCAGUGUGUGUGUUAGUGGAAGCGUCUGGAAAGGCGCGCGAUACAGGGUGACAGCCCCGUACACAAAAAUGCACAUGCUGUGAGCUCGAUGAGUAGGGCGGGACACGUGGUAUCCUGUCUGAAUAUGGGGGGACCAUCCUCCAAGGCUAAAUACUCCUGACUGACCGAUAGUGAACCAGUACCGUGAGGGAAAGGCGAAAAGAACCCCGGCGAGGGGAGUGAAAAAGAACCUGAAACCGUGUACGUACAAGCAGUGGGAGCACGCUUAGGCGUGUGACUGCGUACCUUUUGUAUAAUGGGUCAGCGACUUAUAUUCUGUAGCAAGGUUAACCGAAUAGGGGAGCCGAAGGGAAACCGAGUCUUAACUGGGCGUUAAGUUGCAGGGUAUAGACCCGAAACCCGGUGAUCUAGCCAUGGGCAGGUUGAAGGUUGGGUAACACUAACUGGAGGACCGAACCGACUAAUGUUGAAAAAUUAGCGGAUGACUUGUGGCUGGGGGUGAAAGGCCAAUCAAACCGGGAGAUAGCUGGUUCUCCCCGAAAGCUAUUUAGGUAGCGCCUCGUGAAUUCAUCUCCGGGGGUAGAGCACUGUUUCGGCAAGGGGGUCAUCCCGACUUACCAACCCGAUGCAAACUGCGAAUACCGGAGAAUGUUAUCACGGGAGACACACGGCGGGUGCUAACGUCCAUCGUGAAGAGGGAAACAACCCAGACCGCCAGCUAAGGUCCCAAAGUCAUGGUUAAGUGGGAAACGAUGUGGGAAGGCCCAGACAGCCAGGAUGUUGGCUUAGAAGCAGCCAUCAUUUAAAGAAAGCGUAAUAGCUCACUGGUCGAGUCGGCCUGCGCGGAAGAUGUAACGGGGCUAAACCAUGCACCGAAGCUGCGGCAGCGACGCUUAUGCGUUGUUGGGUAGGGGAGCGUUCUGUAAGCCUGUGAAGGUGUGCUGUGAGGCAUGCUGGAGGUAUCAGAAGUGCGAAUGCUGACAUAAGUAACGAUAAAGCGGGUGAAAAGCCCGCUCGCCGGAAGACCAAGGGUUCCUGUCCAACGUUAAUCGGGGCAGGGUGAGUCGACCCCUAAGGCGAGGCCGAAAGGCGUAGUCGAUGGGAAACAGGUUAAUAUUCCUGUACUUGGUGUUACUGCGAAGGGGGGACGGAGAAGGCUAUGUUGGCCGGGCGACGGUUGUCCCGGUUUAAGCGUGUAGGCUGGUUUUCCAGGCAAAUCCGGAAAAUCAAGGCUGAGGCGUGAUGACGAGGCACUACGGUGCUGAAGCAACAAAUGCCCUGCUUCCAGGAAAAGCCUCUAAGCAUCAGGUAACAUCAAAUCGUACCCCAAACCGACACAGGUGGUCAGGUAGAGAAUACCAAGGCGCUUGAGAGAACUCGGGUGAAGGAACUAGGCAAAAUGGUGCCGUAACUUCGGGAGAAGGCACGCUGAUAUGUAGGUGAAGUCCCUCGCGGAUGGAGCUGAAAUCAGUCGAAGAUACCAGCUGGCUGCAACUGUUUAUUAAAAACACAGCACUGUGCAAACACGAAAGUGGACGUAUACGGUGUGACGCCUGCCCGGUGCCGGAAGGUUAAUUGAUGGGGUCAGCGCAAGCGAAGCUCUUGAUCGAAGCCCCGGUAAACGGCGGCCGUAACUAUAACGGUCCUAAGGUAGCGAAAUUCCUUGUCGGGUAAGUUCCGACCUGCACGAAUGGCGUAAUGAUGGCCAGGCUGUCUCCACCCGAGACUCAGUGAAAUUGAACUCGCUGUGAAGAUGCAGUGUACCCGCGGCAAGACGGAAAGACCCCGUGAACCUUUACUAUAGCUUGACACUGAACAUUGAGCCUUGAUGUGUAGGAUAGGUGGGAGGCUUAGAAGUGUGGACGCCAGUCUGCAUGGAGCCGACCUUGAAAUACCACCCUUUAAUGUUUGAUGUUCUAACGUUGACCCGUAAUCCGGGUUGCGGACAGUGUCUGGUGGGUAGUUUGACUGGGGCGGUCUCCUCCUAAAGAGUAACGGAGGAGCACGAAGGUUGGCUAAUCCUGGUCGGACAUCAGGAGGUUAGUGCAAUGGCAUAAGCCAGCUUGACUGCGAGCGUGACGGCGCGAGCAGGUGCGAAAGCAGGUCAUAGUGAUCCGGUGGUUCUGAAUGGAAGGGCCAUCGCUCAACGGAUUAAAAGGUACUCCGGGGAUAACAGGCUGAUACCGCCCAAGAGUUCAUAUCGACGGCGGUGUUUGGCACCUCGAUGUCGGCUCAUCACAUCCCGGGGCUGAAGUAGGUCCCAAGGGUAUGGCUGUUCGCCAUUUAAAGUGGUACGCGAGCUGGGUUUAGAACGUCGUGAGACAGUUCGGUCCCUAUCUGCCGUGGGCGCUGGAGAACUGAGGGGGGCUGCUCCUAGUACGAGAGGACCGGAGUGGACGCAUCACUGGUGUUCGGGUUGUCAUGCCAAUGGCACUGCCCGGUAGCUAAAUGCGGAAGAGAUAAGUGCUGAAAGCAUCUAAGCACGAAACUUGCCCCGAGAUGAGUUCUCCCUGACCCUUUAAGGGUCCUGAAGGAACGUUGAAGACGACGACGUUGAUAGGCCGGGUGUGUAAGCGCAGCGAUGCGUUGAGCUAACCGGUACUAAUGAACCGUGAGGCUUAACCUU